AAAUGAUUAUUAAUCGAUUUGUAUUAACUACCGAACAGAAAUUAUGCAUACUCGGCUUAAUCCGGGCCGAGAUCCGCGAUAACCUGCUUUGUCAAAUACACAUAUAUAAAUUUACUUACAUAUACGCAUAGUCGCGAUCCCCUCGUUUUACCGGUUAAUCCUCUUCUAAAGUUAAACGCAGACUGCAAGAAGAAACGUCUGAACGAAUAUAAAAGCGCGAUAAACGACCUCAGGAAAAUCCUGGCAGUGGGCAGAGCGAACCUACCAAGGAUCGGUAACGAACGAACAGCCAAUCACGAGAUUGGUUCCCGUGAUUGUUGUGGGCGGCUAUUUGGCGGGCAAGGUGGUGGCUUUGGUUUAUCAUCGCAACAACAUGGCCUACAAGGAUCCUAUAAAUAAUAUUUUUCUUAUGAAUAUUUCUAUAUUUGUAUUUAAAAAACUGACGUAAUAAUAAUUAAAUGAAAAUUAAGAUAUGAUUUAAAAAAUACGAAAGAAAGAAAGAAAAAAAGGAGCGGUACUAAAGAAAAAAUGACUCAUUUUAUGAGAAAUACCUUUGAUCAUGUAAAAAUAAUAAAUAUUAAUAAACUCUCCCUUUCUCAUUUUUAAAUUAUUAAAGAUAUAUGCCAUAUAUGUUUACAUUAUCUUUAUCUAUCUAUCUAUCUAUCUAUAUAUAUAUAUAGAUAUAUAGAU
rnacentral:misc_RNA from 1 species